UCCUGCAGAAAACCUCUUCUGAUCUCCGUUAGUUUAAAAAAAGAGAGAGGAGGGUUGAGAGGCCGAUCAGAGGGCAUGACCUUCCCCGUCUCCACCUCUCUGCUCUUUUUAGCUUGUGUUAUAGGUCAUCUGCCUUCCUGGUGCCCGCUUCUUCCCCGGGUGGCUUUCCUUCACGUCUGGUUCUCCCCCAGCGUCAGACACGCCGCCAGCGGCCAGGGCU